GGGUCAGUAGGUUGGUCGUGCCACCGGUACGUACUGGUCUCACUGGUUCCUCCUUCCUGAAGAACCGUAAUGCCAUUAAUUUGGUGUUGCGGGGAAACAGGACUGUUACUUUGAAAAAAUUAGAGUGUUUAAAGCAAGCUAACGCUUGACUACAUUAGCAUGGAAUAAUGAAAUAGGACGAUCGAUCCUAUUUUGUUGGUUUCUAGGAUUGACGUA
rnacentral:rRNA from 1 species